rnacentral:pre_miRNA from 1 species
GCCAGGAAGAAGAAGAACAGAGUGUCCAAGAGCAGUGCGAAUGGGAACAUCGAGAAAAGCAUGAGUUCUCUAGAUUUCCUCUCCCAUAAGAGAUGUCUAGUUCUGUACUUUUCUGAUGCCUCCCAUUCCUAUUGUUCUUGAGUGCUCCUUCCUCUUCCUUUUGGCU